rnacentral:rRNA from 1 species
GGAUUAGAUACCCUGGUAGUCCAUGCCGUAAACGGUGGGCGCUAGGUGUGAGGGUCUUUCUACGACUUUCGUGCCGUAGCUAACGCAUUAAGCGCCCCGCCUGGGGAGUACGGCCGCAAGGCUAAAACUCAAAGGAAUUGACGGGGGCCCGCACAAGCGGCGGAGCAUGUGGAUUAAUUCGAUGCAACGCGAAGAACCUUACCUGGGCUUGACAUACACCAGAUUGGGCUAGAGAUAGUUCGUCCCUUUGUGGUUGGUGUACAGGUGGUGCAUGGUUGUCGUCAGCUCGUGCCG